rnacentral:rRNA from 2 species
UAGGGAAUCUUCGGCAAUGGGGGGAACCCUGACCGAGCAACGCCGCGUGAGUGAAGAAGGUUUUCGGAUCGUAAAGCUCUGUUGUUAAGGAAGAACGAGUGUGAGAAUGGAAAGUUCAUGCUGUGACGGUACUUAACCAGAAAGGGACGGCUAACUACGUGCCAGCAGCCGCGGUAAUACGUAGGUCCCGAGCGUUGUCCGGAUUUAUUGGGCGUAAAGCGAGCGCAGGCGGUUAGAAAAGUCUGAAGUGAAAGGCAGUGGCUCAACCAUUGUAGGCUUUGGAAACUGUUUAACUUGAGUGCAGAAGGGGAGAGUGGAAUUCCAUGUGUAGCGGUGAAAUGCGUAGAUAUAUGGAGGAACGCCGGUGGCGAAAGCGGCUCUCUGGUCUGUAACUGACGCUGAGGCUCGAAAGCGUGGGGAGCGAACAGG